CAGGAUCACGUGAGCAGUGUGCUCCAGCCCGCCGCCAGCCCCACUCUCCCCCCGCGCUCGCCUGCCUCCCGCGCUGCCCGCGCUCGCGAAUGCCCCGGCUCUGGCGUUUCCCGCUCGCAAGCGCCGCCUCCGCGCCCUACAUCUGCGCUAGCGCGCGAAAUCGUUCCCAAUCCACCCUCAUAUAGUAGAUCCGCCCCCUCCCCACAUAUCCCCACCCUUCCAUUGACUUCCAAUGCUUGCCGACGGGGAGGGUCGUCGAUCUUGAAGGGGAAGAUGUCCCGGCGGGGGAAAUCAGUACCCCAGCUCGGCGGUGGUCCGGCAAAGCGCGGCGGCGGCACUCCUCCAGCAGCUCCAUCGCAGUCGGAAUUGUUGCCCCCACCUCCGAAUGGUUCAUGGUUUCCUGGAUAUGGAGGUAGCAGUGGUCAGAGUUCAUCCUUCCCUGGAAUUCAAUCGGCAAAAUCCAUGCGAAAAACGUCCUAUUGGGAGAGAAGGGGCAAAGACAGAACGGAAAGGGAAGCGGAAGGCGGACCAGGUUAUGGAUGGUAUUGUCAUGCUUGGAGAUAACAUAAACAAAAUAAUUGAAGUUACACAAGAACGUAAGAAGGAGCGUGAAAAAGUGAUAGGAGCGCAACUAGAGAUCUCAAGGCUUAACCUGAAGGCUGCAAAGAAGCAAAAAAAAUCAAAGUUGCUGGAAGCUUAUACUUCUUUGCUGGUUCGAGGUACAAGUCAUAUGUCCGAAGAAGCCAAGUUGAGACAGGAGAAGACACUGGAGAAGAUGGAGAAGAAGUUAUUUGGCACUGCUGAUGAUGCAUGAGGGGAGAAGGUGACUAGACAGAGAAAUAUGGAUGGCGCUGGCGGCUGGAGAACUGAUAUGUGUGAAGGGUUGGCAUGUGAUCUGGAAAGAGUUUUAUAUAAGCGUGAAUUGUGCCUUGGCUUGUGAAACUGAUCCGUGUGAAUUCUAAUGGUUAUUUUCCAUUCAAGUGUGAAUGGUGAUGCCUUGGCAUGUGAAACUGAUCCACCUUGGCUUGUGAAACUGAUCCGUGUGAAUUCUAAUGGUUAUUUUUCAUUUGUGUAAAUGGUGAUGCCUUGGCAUGUGAAACUGAUCCACCUUGGUGAUGCCUUGGCAUGUGAAUUAUAUCCUAGUAUGUUGUUUUACAACAAGUUACAUAGUUA